rnacentral:tRNA from 1 species
GCUCGAGUGGUGGAAUGGUAGACACAAGGGACUUAAAAUCCCUUGGGCGUUAGCCCGUGCGGGUUCGAGUCCCGCCUCGAGCA